rnacentral:rRNA from 1 species
CGGGACCUGCCGCCUGGAGAUUGGCCCGCGGCCCAUUAGCUUGUUGGCGGGGUAACAGCCCACCAAGGCGACGAUGGGUAGCCGGCCUGAGAGGGUGUCCGGCCACACUGGGAUUGAGAUACGGCCCAGACUCCUUCGGGAGGCAGCAGUCGAGAAUCUUCCCCAAUGGGCGAAAGCCUGAGGGAGCGACGCCGCGUGAGGGAUGAAGGCCCUUUGGGUUGUAAACCUCUGUUAGGGGGAAAGAACAGCAGUGGGAGCAAUAUGUCCAUUGCCUGACGUUACCCCCAGAGAAAGCUCCGGCCAACUCCGUGCCAGCAGCCGCGGUAAUACGGGGGGAGCAAGCGUUGUCCGGAAUCAUUGGGCGUAAAGGGCGUGUAGGCGGUUUGGCAAGUCGAAUGUGAAAUCCCACGGCUCAACCGUGGAACUGCGUUCGAAACUGCCUUACUUGAGUGCGGGAGAGGUGUGCGGAAUUCCUGGUGUAGCGGUGGAAUGCGUAGAUAUCAGGAAGAACACCGGUGGCGAAGGCGGCACACUGGCCCAGCACUGACGCUGAGGCGCGAAAGCGUGGGGAGCGAACGGGAUUAGAUACCCCGGUAGUCCACGCUGUAAACUUUGGGCACUAGGUAUUGGAGGUCUCAACCCCUUCAGUGCCGUAGCUAACGCG